CCAACAUCAAAGUGCACAAUAGAAUAAAGAAAAGUUAUUCUUUUUCAAAGAAAGAGGACUUGUUAUCGGAUUUUUUGCAAUCUUUGCAAUCUGGAAGUCAGUGUAUCCAAGAGUGAGAUCACAGAAAGUUCUAAAAAUGACAUGAAAAUGAAUCUAUAGGUUGGUGCUUGGUAUAAGGUAAGUACAUAAAUAUGUUUAAUCCUGUUUUAGGAGUUGCCUCUGUGCAUCUGAAUAUACUUUUGCUGCUGACUGAACUCAAUGCAAAAGAAGUAAUUUCCCUUCACAUAUUCUUUUAAUAGGGUUUUACUUCUAAAUGCCAUUUGCUGAGUACAGAUUAUCUCCUAGGUGCAUGCGACACCUCAUUUCCCUUCCUGUCUUCUUGAGAUGGAGGUGGGACAGGUUUCACAAUCUGAUAUAUUCUUAGAAUAUAUAAUGUACGGUUACUUUUUGAAUGAAUAUAUCUCGGAGUCUUAUUCUA